AUACGUAGGGAGCGAGCGUUGUCCGGAAUUACUGGGUGUAAAGGGAGCGUAGGCGGGAGUGCAAGUCAGAUGUGAAAUACAUGGGCUCAACCCAUGGGCUGCAUUUGAAACUGCAUUUCUUGAGUGAAGUAGAGGUAAGCGGAAUUCCUGGUGUAGCGGUGAAAUGCGUAGAUAUCAGGAGGAACACCGGUGGCGAAGGCGGCUUACUGGGCGUUUACUGACGCUGAGGCUCGAAAGCGUGGGGAGCAAACAGGAUUAGAUACCCUGGUAGUCCACGCUGUAAACGAUGAUUACUAGGUGUGGGGGGACUGACCCCUUCCGUGCCGCAGUUAACACAAUAAGUAAUCCACCUGGGGAGUACGGCCGCAAGGUUGAAACUCAAAUGAAUUGACGGGG
rnacentral:rRNA from 1 species